rnacentral:rRNA from 1 species
AUGCAACACCCUGUUCUGACCAUAUUGCACUAUGUAUCAUCAUUCCAUAAACCGAGAAAUUUCUUCUCUCUGAUUCAAGUAGAAAUACAAAUGGAAAAAUUCGAAGGGUAUUCAGAAAAACAUAAAUCUCGUCAACAAUAAUUUGUCUACCCACUUCUCUUUCAGGAAUAUAUUUAUGCAUUUGCCCACCAUUAUGGAUUAAAUGGGUCUGAACCUGUGGAAAUAGUUGUUAGUUGUAAUAACAAGAAAUUUAGUUCACUACUUGUGAAACGUUUAAUUAUUCGAAUGUAUCAGCAGAAUUUUUUGGAUAACUCGGUUAAUCAUCCUAACCAAGAUCGAUUAUUGGAUUACAAAAAUUAUUUUUAUUCCGAGUUUUAUUCUCAGAUUCUAUCUGAAGGGUUUGCGAUCGUUGUGGAAAUCCCAUUCUCGCUACGGGAAUUAUUUUGUUCGAAAGAAAAAGAAAUACCAAAGUUUCAGAAUUUACGCUCUAUUCAUUCAAUAUUUCCCUUUUUAGAAGACAAAUUUUUGCAUUUGGAUUUUCUAUCACAUAUAGAAAUACCCUAUCCUAUCCAUUUGGAAAUCCUGGUUCAACUCCUUCAAUACCGUAUCCAAGAUGUUCCAUCUUUGCAUUUAUUGCGAUUCUUUCUCAACUAUUAUUCAAAUUGGAAUAGUUUUAUUACUUCAAUGAAAUCCAUUUUUAUUUUUCAAAUAGAAAAUAAAAGACUAUUUCGAUUCCUACAUAACUCUUAUGUAUCAGAAUAUGAUUUUUUUUUAUUUCUUCAUAAACGAUCUUCUUGCUUACCAUUAGCAUCUUCUGGAACUUUUCUGGAACGAAUCCACUUUUCUAGGAAGAUGGAACAUUUUGGGAUAAUGUACCCUGGUUUUUCUCGGAAAACCCUACGGUUCUUUAUGGAUCCUCUUAUUCAUUAUGUUUGAUAUCAAGGAAACGCAAUUCUUGCAUCAAAAGGCACUUUUUUGAUGAAGAAAUGGAAAUGCUACCUUAUCAAUUUCUGGCAAUAUUAUUUCUGUUUUUGGACUCAGCCGCGAAGAAUCCAUAUAAACCAAUUAGCAAACUCUUGCUUCGAUUUUAUGGGGUACCUUUCAAGUGUACCAAAAAGUUCUUUGUUAGUAAGGAAUCAAAUGCUGGAGAAUUCAUUUCUAAUAGAUACUCGAAUGAAAAAAUUCGAUACCAUAGUCCCCGCUACUCUCCUCAUAGGCUACUUAUCAAAAGCUCAAUUUUGUAUUGGAUCGGGGCAUCCUAUUAGUAAACCCAUUUGGACAGAUUUAUCAGAUUGGGAUAUUCUUGAUUGAUUUGGUCGGAUAUGUAGAAAUCUUUUUCAUUAUCAUAGUGGAUCUUCGAAAAAACGGACUUUGUAUCGACUAAAGUAUAUACUUCGACUUUCAUGCGCUAGAACUUUAGCUCGUAAACAUAAAAGCACGAUACGGACUUUUAUGCAAUGAUUGGGUUUGGCAUUUUUAGAAGAAUUUUUUAUGGAAGACGAGUAAGUUUUUUCUUUGAUGUUCACCAAAACAACUCUUUUUUCUUUCUGUGGAUCACACACUGAGCGUAUUUGGUAUUUGGAUAUUAUAUGUAUUAAUGACCUGGUCAACCCUCUUAAUUAA